CAUUCUUCAACCUAACAAAAAAAACCACAGCAACAAAAAAGAAAACCAUACAAACAAAUCCUAAAAGACUCUCUUUACAACGUAAAGAGCAAAAACCCCAACAGCAAAACGUGUAGUAAUAAGGCAAAAACACGGUAGGGAAGGAAGGUUGUUAAUAUAUACAUAUAAAAGUUAUAACGGAAGAAAGGUCGAACGAUUCAAAAAAACCCAACGAUGGCUAUGAUGUUACGGUCGCUCGCUAGGCCGCUUGAACGUUGCCUUGGGUUAAGGGCCGGUGGGGAUGGUCUCAUGUGGCACACUGAUCUUAAACCUCAUGCUUCGGGCGAGUACUCAAUCGCCGUCGUUCAAGCCAAUAAAAACCUUGAAGAUCAAGGCCAAGUCUUUACAUCUCCUUUAGGUACCUAUGUUGGUGUUUAUGAUGGUCAUGGCGGACCCGAAGCUUCCAGAUUUGUAAACAAGCAUCUUUUCCCAUUUCUCCACAGUAAUUGUUCUUUGACCCUUUUAAUCUUUUUCUUAAUUAUUUUUCUGGGUUUUUUUUUAGAUUAUCUGAAAUGGGGUUUUCUUUGCGUCUAAUUUUUCAAGAUUCAAAUAUUCUUUUGUGUUUUAAUGGUCAAAGAGAAUUUUGGGUUUUUGUCAGUUAAUGAUAUUUUGAACAACUUACAAAGUGUCUAUCAUGCACGUUUAUUUAGUUAUUAUUUGUGUAUCUGAAUGAAUAUGAAUUACUUUGUCUAAAUAUAAAUCUUUAUGCGUUUGAAAUUGGAAUUUGGUUCUCAAGAUUCUAAAACCAUUCAGUUUAAUUUCAAUUUUUGGCACCUUUCACCUCCUUGCUUUAUUGGGUUUUGUCAGUGAAUGGUUGUGUUCUUGUUUUAAUUUUUCUGUCUUAAUUGUAGAAUUUGCUACAGAGCAAGGGGGAUUAUCUGCAGACGUGAUAAAGAAGGCGUUCAAUGCUACUGAAGAAGAGUUUUUACAUUUGGUGAAGCAAUCAUUGCCCGUAAGGCCUCAAAUUGCUUCAGUUGGAUCAUGUUGCCUUGUUGGUGCGAUAUCCAACGAUGUGUUGUAUGUGGCGAAUCUCGGCGACUCGAGAGCAGUUCUUGGCAAAAGAGUUUCGGAGGAUAAGAAAAACAAGGUUGUGGCAGAGAGGCUAUCAACAGAUCACAAUGUUGGAGUUGAGGAAGUGAGGAAAGAGGUUGAGGCUCUUCAUCCUGAUGAUUCGCAUGUCGUGGUUUACACUCGCGGAGUUUGGAGGAUUAAGGGCAUAAUCCAGGUACUUAACAAAAUCUAUUGGCAAACCCAAUUAUAAGAGUUUUAAGUUGAAUCAGACAGGUUGAAGAACAGUUCAUGUUUUGGUUCAAUGAAUUCGAUGGAUAUACAUGUUUCUUUCCAUCAAUUGCUUGUAUGUUUGUAGAAAAGGUAUAUUUACAAAACAAAUAAACAUUGUGCAUCCUCUGAAUCAUAAUGCUAAGCUUAUGUGACUAUAUGGAGUCUUCUCUCUUUUCUUUUUCGGGUUUUUUGGGUUCCUUUUGUUGAUUUCUUUCCCCUUUAACUUCAGCAGUUAAAUGGUUCUCUGUAAUGGAUAAUGUUGGUCUAAGCAUUGAACUUGUUUCUUUAUUCAGGUGUCAAGAUCUAUCGGUGAUGUUUACUUGAAGAAACCCGAUUUUUAUAGAGAUCCAAUCUUUCAACGAUUCGGAAACCCUGUUCCCCUUAAAAGACCAGUUAUCACGGCAGAACCCUCCAUCCUUAUUAGAAAGCUUAAGCCCCAAGACUUAUUUCUGAUAUUUGCAUCAGAUGGCCUAUGGGAACAGUUGAGCGAUGAAACCGCGGUAGACAUUGUUUUCAGAAACCCCCGAGCUGUGAGUAUUUACCUUUGUCUUAUUGGUUAAUUUAGUCUUCAUUAGCAGCUGGACCGAAUGACAGAGUAUUGAUUUUAAGUUUGCUUGUAUUACUUGCAGGGUAUUGCUAAGAGACUGGUAAGUGCCGCACUUAGAGAAGUUGCAAAGAAAAGAGAGAUGAGAUACGGCGAUAUUAAGAAAAUCGAGAAGGGAAUAAGACGGCAUUUCCAUGACGAUAUAACCGUGAUCGUCAUUUACCUAGAUCAACACCGAGGCUCUUCACAUAACAUAGUUAAACAUAAUGCCAUGGGGUGCACGACGGCGCCAGUCGACAUCUAUUCAUACAAUGCAGAUGAAGGAUAUGAAGGAGAUUUACUUCAAACAGUUUCUUGAAUACACAACAGAAUGAGUUAAUAUUAGGUUUAGCACACUGACUUUUUAUUCUUUUUCAAGUCUUAUUCAUGUAUAGAGAAACCAAAUGAUGGGGUGGGAUUGGUUCUUAAACCAAUGUUUCAUUGGGAGAAAAAUCGAGAGUUUGGAAGGUAAUUUUAGUCACCUCAGACGGAUUCCGACACAGGCGGCUAUAGGUGUUCCGGUUGAAGUUCUAACGGUUACCGAAAAGGCUACAUUGUUUUAUUGGUUUAUUAAAUUCAUUGCUUAUAUUAUAUUUAAUUCGAAGUGAGUAACUAAAGACAAUUAAUUACGUUAUUAAUUUUUCUUGUCAAUUAUACAUAAUUUUGAUUGGUGUAAUAACAAAUUUAACCCUUAAUAUUUAUAUAUUUUGUGCAAAUGUUGACAGAAUAUGUAAAUGUUGUAGGUUAAUUUCGUUAAAUCGUGAUUAAAUUGACAGAACAUGUAAGUGUUAUGGGUUAAAUUUGUUAAAUCAAUGUUAAAUUGACAAGAAGUAUAAACUUUAAGGGCGAAUUUUGUUACUAUACCGAUAGAAAAAGUAUAAUUGAUGAAAAAAUAUUGAUGUUAUGAUUAAUGGUCAUUAGUUGCUCACUUUUAAAAUCGACAAGAUUAAAUUGUUAUAGUUUUUUUGAGAGGGACCAAUUUGUUCAAAAUGAAAAUUGAGAAGAAUCAAAAUGUCAUUGUACCUGGUUCUUAUACAUACCAUAUCUAAGUUGUGAAUUUAGUUUUUGUACAUUAAUUUACUCAAUUUCAGUCUCUUUACUUUUUAAAUUUAAAAUUUUAGUUAUGAUUUAGAUUGUAAAUUAAAUUCGUUUCAUUCUAUUAUGUUAUUAGUCUUAUACUAUUAUUACAGUUGUGAAUUUAAUUCAUGUUUUUUAAUUUUAUCAUUUUUAGUCGUUAUACUUUUCAAAUUUUAAUGCAAACGAAAAUAGUUAAAUCCAUUAAACGUAGGUUUUCUAUGUGUGCAAUAUAUGAAAAUAGCAAAUUGCAACUAUUAUUUGAUCGAGACUAAAAUUGAAUAAUACAAAAAAUACAAAAAUUAAAAUUAAAUAAAUUAAAAGAUAGAUAUUAAACUCACAAUUUAUUCAUAUACAUAAACUAAUAACAUAAUUCUUAAUACUCUUAAAUUAAAAACAACACUUAAUAAACUACGAGAGUUAGGUGAGAUGACAAAUAUCUCUCCUAUAUUAACCAGUGGUUGAAAGUUUGAUCCUCGCAUUGGGUAUAGAAUAACUUUAAAAACUCGUAGUCGGCAUCUAUUAUUUUAAUAGACCUAAAAAUGCGGAGAAUUAAUUACUGAACUCGCUCUAAGCAUGACAUAACACGACAAAGUUGGCUUGUAAUUUGUAUAUCUAAACCAAAAGGGAAAAAAUGUUUUGCGAGACAAAUUCCUUAAACUGAAAGACAUGGGAAUUUUGGCAACUAGAUAGCAAUAACCAAACUUGUUAGGUGAAACGAACCAAACUAAAGCACAAAACGACAAUCAGUUGCGCUAAAGUUAGGAUGUCUUGUCACUUUUAAAUUUUUAUUAUACAACUUGCUUCACUAAACAAAUACUAUUUAAUGAACUUUUUAAUAUUCUUACUCUACUUUUCAAUAAUUCAUAAAGCUAAUAAAUAUAUUAUAUUCUUUCAAAUUACUUUUCUUUAAAUUAUUUUUUCUUUAUUUUAAUUGAAAAUUUUUAUUGUAUUAAUUGCAUAAAAAUACUCAAAAUUUUAAUUUAUUCUUUAAUUUCGAAAUAUGUUUAAACGUUAAAACGUUAAUUUUGAUAUGAUGUAAAGUACAUUUAAAAUGCCCGAAUUAAAUUGUAAAUUUAUGUAUACUUACAUCAUUAAUAACUUGGAUCUUACGUAUUAAAAAAAUAGUGUUAAUAAAUUUUAGGAGGGUUAACACUUUUAACUGUUAGAACGAUUUUUUUAAGUAGAAAUCAUGUUGGUACUCUAACUAGAAUGGUUAUACUUUAGUUACUUGGGUUAACUGUUAAUAUUAUAAAAAGUAGAAGAUUAAAUUACAUUAAAUAAAAUUAUGGAGAUUAAAUUUUAAAUUUGAGCACAAUAAAGGGACCAAAACUAUAAUUUAACUCUUUUUAAAUUCAAUAUUUUGUUGAAGGAUUAAAUUGGGGUUGAACUUGAAACCUACUUCUAUAUUGGGGCUUGAACUUUUUUUUUGUCUAAGUUGCUCCCUAAACUUAGCAAUUUUUCUCAUAUUGAAGUUUGAACUAGGCCAUUGUUCUAAGGGGCGAAGCCAAAAUUUUUUUUUUUGGGAGUUGGAAUUAAAUUGUAUAUUUUUAUGGUAGUAAGAAUGUAAUUUUACCAUUUUAAUAGCCUAUGUCAUUAUAAUUUUAAAGGAUUAAAUCAAUUUUGUAUUAUUUAAGAGGUUAAAGUUCAAAUUUAUCAUUACUAAUUUAAAAUUUUAUAAAUUAUAAAAAGUUUAAAUAGAAAAUUUUUCAUUUUAGGGGGAACUGGGGGCCUUGCCAACCUCUCUGGCUUUGCCAUUGAUUGUUUCCAUAUUGGAGCUAAACUUGACAAUUGUUCCUACAUUGAUGCCUAAGUUUUAGGGUUUUCAAAGAAACAUCAUGGAUUAAUUUGGAUCAAAAAAGGUUCAAGCCCCAAUAUAAAAACAAUUACCACAAAAAAAUUCAGGUCUCAAUAUGAAAAUAAUUACCAAUUUCAGGCCCAAAAAGGUGAUUUAACCCUUUGCCCAACCCCAUUCAAGUUACCAAACGAGAGGAAAAUAACAAAUUCCUAGAAAAUCUACAAUUUUGUGCGCUAAAAAAGAAAAUACAAAUAGUCGUUUCAGUAUAAUUUUCUCGGAAAAUAACCAAAACCCAGUCCUUUAAGCUUCAACAUCCAAAGAAAAAAGAAUGACUGCAAGUCAUUUGGUUGCUGAAUCCGUGUGGAAAACAAUAGAGUCAACUCAUUCAGGUCUUUCUUUUUUUCCCCCCUUAUUUAUUCUUUCUAUGUAGAAACUAAAUUCCAUCUUCUUCUUUUUUCCUUUUUUAAAUCCCUAAAUUUUGUGAUCUUAUGACCCAAAUUGGCCAGUAAAUGAAGAGCAACUAUCAAUGUAAGCAAUACUCAUUUUCUUUUAAAUCUUUUAUUCUUGGGCUUUUUAAAAUAAAAAUAAAAAUAAAAAUGGUGGGUAUUGAUUAAUUUUGAAUUUUCUUUUAUUGUAGCUUGCAUUUUCUGUUUGGUAAAAACUUCGAGAGAGCAACAAGGAUAGUUGACCAAAGGGGUGUCAAGAAAAUCUCCGGUGAACCCAGCGGUCGUUUUAUCUUUCAGGUUCAUUCUCUUUGUUGCUAUCUCAAUUUUUGAAUAUUGGUCGAAUUCUCCUAUUAGUCCAUGCACUCUGCAUAAAUUGCAGAUUUAAUCCAUGUUCCUCGAUUUAAUGUUUUUAAUGAUUUGUUUUUCAAAUUGUAAUUUUAGUAUCAUGUUAUAUCUAUUUAAUUUAAUUAUUUUAUUUCAGUUAAUAAAUUUCACUGCUAUUGGAUAUAAGAAUAAAAAUGAUAAAAUUUUAGAACAAAUAUUAAAUCUAUAAGGUUAGGACAGAAAAAUCCAAAUAUUAUAAAAUUAAAAUUGACCAAAUUAAAAUAUGUAGACUAAAUCUGUAAUUUAGACUUAGUAUAUAUACUAAGGGAAGAAUUUGUCAUAGAAUAUUUGGACGAGUUGUCGGCUACCUUAUGUGUAAAAUAUGGUCAUUUUGGCAAAUAUUCCAUUUUAAGAACUUUCCUGGAAACUUUUCUGAAACUGUGAGCCUUGAGAUAAAACCCGAAGCAGAAUUGAGACACAUCAGUAUAUAUCCAUUUGUAUAUCUCAAUAUAUAUAUAUAACAUACGCCUGUCUAGUUAGAAUAUUUGGACAAGUUGUCGGCCACCUUAUCUGUAAAAUGUGAUCAUUUUGGCAAAUAUUCCAUAUUUAAGAACUUUCCUGGAAAAUUUCUGAAACUAUGACCCAUCAAGGCUCUUGGCAGAAUCGUGAGAUAAAACCUGAAGCAGAAUUGAGACACAUCAAUAUAUAUAUCCAUUUGUAUAUCUCAAUAUAUAUAUACAGACGCAUGUGUAGUUAGAAUAUUUGGACAAGUUGUCCUCUACCUUUUCUGUAAAAUGUGAUCAUUUUAGCAAAUAUUCCAUCUUAAGAACUUUCCUGGAAAUUUUUCUUAACUAUGACCCAUCAAGGCUCUUAGCAGAAUGGUGAGAUAAAACCCGAAGCAGAAUUGCGACACUUCAAUAUGUAUCCAAUUGUAUAUCUCAAUAUAUAUAUAUACAUAGGCAUGUCUAGUUAGACUAUUUGGACAAGUUGUCAUCUACCUUAUCUGUAAAAUGUGAUUAUUUUAGCAAAUAUUCCAUCUUAAGAACUUUCCUGGAAAAUUUUCUGAAACUAUGACCCAUCAAGACUCUUAGCAGAGUCGUGAGAUAGAACCCGAAGCAGAGUUGAGACACAUCAAUAUAUAUAUCCAUUUGUUAUAUAUAUACAUACGCAUGUCUAGUUAGAAUAUUUGGUCAAGUUGUCAUCUACCUUAUCUGUAAAAUGUGAUCAUUUUAGCAAAUAUUCCAUCUUAAGAACUUUGCUGGAAAAUUUUCUGAAACUAUGACCCAUCAAGGCUCUUAGCAGAGUCGUGAGAUAAAACCCAAAGCAGAAUUGAGCCACAUCAAUAUAUAUAUAUCCAUUUGUAUAUCUCAAUAUAUAUAUACAUACGCGUGUCUAGUUAGAAUUUUGGACAAGUUGUCAUCAACCUUAUCUGUAAAAUGUGAUCAUUUUAGCAAAUAUUCCAUCUUAAGAACUUUCCUGGAAAUUUUUCUGAAACUUUUUUUUCCCAUUGUUUGGUGCUUUAGGUUGUGGGAGAAUCUAGAAGAAAAGAAGAAUAUUUCUGUUUUGCUGAACAUUAUUGUGCUUGUUAUUCAUUCUUUUAUGAUGUAAUUAACAGAGCAGAACAGCUUUGUGUAAGAUUUCUUUAUUCCUUUAUUCCCCUUAUUUUAUUGCAUUUAAUAUAUAGGUAAAAUUUUUGAAAUUGAGCAAAUUGGUCCCUCUAAAAAAUUAUAGCAAUUUAUCUUUGUCAAUUCCAAAAGUGAGCAACUAAAAAUAAUUAAUCAAGACGUUGAUAUCAUUUGUCAAUUGUACAUAGUUUUGAUUGGUAUAAUAACAAAUUUAGCCUUGUUAUUUACAUGUUUAUACAAAUAUUGAGUUGCAUUUAUUAAAUCAGGACAAAAUUGAAAGAAUAUGUAACUUUGAGAGCUAAAUUAUUUAUUAUACCAAUCAAAUUUAUGUACAAUUGAUGAUCAAAAUAUUAAUGUUGUGAUUAAUUAUUCUUAGUUGCUCACUUUUGAAUUAAAACGGAUUAAAUUACUUCAAAUUUUUUAGAGGAUUCAAUAUGCUCAAUUUACUUAAAUUUUUUUAGAGGAUUCAAUAUGUUCAAUUUUAAAAUUAAAAGGGAUUAAAUUACUUUAAUUUUUUUAGAAGAUUCAAUAUGCUCAAUUUCAAAAUUGAGAGGGACUCACCUAUAUAUAUUUGCUGUAUUUUCAUAUUUUGUUUUGCUUUUGUGUAGUGUAAGCAUCAAUUAGCUGCAAGGCUUGCUGGAUCAUUGGGAGCUUGUAUUGAAGUUAAAGUGUCUGAUGAACAGCUAGCUGUAUUACUUUCUGAGCUCUAAAUUUUUGUAGUAAAAUCGUAGCGGGUCGGAUCCGAAAUUUAAUCUAGUUGGUUCAUGCAGUUACAUUUAAAGAAAUGACAUUCAAUAAAUAUGAUUCAAUUUUUGAUAAAUAAAAAUAUUGUUUGUAUGUUUAACAACAAAAAGAAUGAACAAAUUAUAAUCAUCAAAUCAAGGAACAAUAUUGUGAGUUUUCAUCUUUUUAAUCCAUGAAUUGAACGACGUUUUCGAGUUUCGGAACCCGACAAAUCCAUGUUCUUUGCUCUUGUUCAUGCUAUCCAACAGUGACUUCCCCGAAAGCACCGAAUCAACGAACUGCCAUGCUCCGGCAUUGCUCAAUUUCAUCGGCAAAAGACCGUUCUCCCUCACGAUGUUGUCCCACACCGGACCUUUGUCUUUCAUCAUUUCAACCAAGCUUGGCACCUUCUCUUCGGUUUCUUGAAAUCCGUAGUGUUCGAUACCGAACUGGUCAGCUAACACUUUCCAUAAGUCCUUCCACUUAAACACAUCUCCAUUGCUACAAUUAAAGGCUUCGUUUUUCGCUCGCCGGCUCAUUGCUGCCCAUAUUUGAUGUUCUGCAAUCAAAUCCGCAUCCGAUGCAUCCCAGUACCCUUCCCACGCUUGUCGGUUCCCCGGAAACCUCAACGGCUCGCUUUCAUGCUUACAUAUCGACGCGUAAAUGCAUAAACUCCGAACUAUAUUCAUCGAACUAAACGGAGAAAACCCAAAAACCAAUCCCGGCCUAUGAACAGACCAUGUCAAGUUCUCCUUCUGCUUCACUUCUUCCAACAAAACAUCCUCGAGCGUAUAACACAAGUUUGACGACUUAAGCCUCGGAAGAUCCUCGCGAAAAGGAGGAUCAUGGGGCUGAACAUGAUAUUUUCCGUACAAAUCAAUCGGACCGGUGUAAUGCCGACGACCGGUUUGCAAGCAUAUAUGUUUCAACUUGGGUGAAUUCGGGAUUACCGCUUUCAACACGUUCCGUAACAUAGUACCAUUGAUAACGCAGUUUUCAUCUUCAGUUGAUCUCUUAUCCCAUGCAACAUAAAACACAUGAGUCACAUCGUUAAGCUUUGAUAAUUUAUCACAUGUUUCUUCUUCAUCUAAAACAUCGCAUUGUAUGUACUCAAUAGGCAAAUGACUAGUCGAGGCUGGUCGAGGCUGACGAGCAACACCGUAGACCUUCCACGGUCCGCCGGGAAUACCGGAGAACGGAAGAAUCUCGGCGAGACUGUUACCGACUAUGCCGGUGAUGCCAAUGACCAAAGCAACACUCUUGUACUUGGAUUGUUUAUCAUGUUCUUCCAUUUUCUUCUGUAAAAAAAAAAAAAAUCUGGGUUCAUUAGAUUAAAUGCAGAGAAAGAGAACCCAAAAAAAUGAAUGAGCAUUAACGUACCUUGGCAGCACCAAUGGCUCCUGCCCACCACCAACUCAUUGUAUGUUUUUCUUUUGCUGUUAAUGAAAAAAAAUGCUGAAUUACAUCCUUAAACUUUGUCUGCAAUGUUUUUAUAGUGAUCCGCUUUGAUAAAAGUGACGUCUGGGAAUUUAAAAAAGGAAAAAAAAACCAAUCUUAUCUAUUUACAUGUAUCAACUACAGCUCAACAAGAACUUGUUAUCAAUUUGAUUUCUUUAUAAUAAUAAUAAUAAUAAUAAUUUUAGUUGGGAUAAAUUACAAGAAUAGUCACUCUUGUUUGUCUUAGAUUAUAUUUUAGUCAAUUAUGUUAUCGUUUUGUUACGAAGUGGUCACUCUACCGCUAAACUCCGUUACCUCCCUAGCGGUAGUUCUACGUGACAGUUAAAAUUAAAUUUAUUUAAUUAAAAACAUAUUUUCAUCCCAGUAGCUGGACAUCCAAGUUGGCAUUUAAAACAUGUUUGGAUUGCUACGUAGGACAAUCGUUAGGGAGGUAACGGAGCUUAACGGUAGAGCGACCAUUUCAUAACAAAAUGAUAACAUAUGUGACUAAAAUAUAACAUUUUAAACAUAAAUGAUUAAAAUGUAAUAUGAUUCAAACAAAAGUAACUAUUUUUAUAGUUUACCAUUUUAUUUUUAAUUUGUUUGAAUAAACAUGGAUACAACACAUAUAUUUUAUAUAAAAUAAUUUAAGUGGCGGAAUUUUUUAAAAGAAAAUCAGAAAGGACGUGGAAAAUGGGUUAAUUGGUGAAUAUGUGUAAAUCCUUCAAUAAUUGAAUUGGUCAGCCAACACUUAAAGACUAAGGAUUAGACAGCUAGUAAACACAUCAGCAUAUAAUCAAGCUUGCGUGGAGAACCUAGCGUGUAAGGAAACAAUACAUCCUUAUCUAUUCACUAAAUCUUCUAAUGCUAUGAAAAAAAAGGAUAGAAUUUUGUGAAUUUUAUAAUUGGAAAGUUUAAGGAUAGGAAAUUAAUAUGAAAUUUGGCUUUUUUGUUUUUUUAAUUUGUAUUCCAAGUUAGUUUUUUACUAUUUAAGUCAAACAUUUCUAUUGGGUAUUGUUAAAUUAACAUGAGUAUUAUUGUUAAUAUAGAGGAAUGUGUGUUUGAGUGCGUUGAAGUGUUAGGUCUGUUCUUGACGUUUUUGGGCCUUAACAAAACAAUAAAAUGGGUUUCAAGUUCCUUAAAAGUUGAAGAAAAAAAAUUUGGUCCCUAAAAGUUGGUAAAAAAAAUUUGGCCUUUAAAAGUUAAAAAUAAGAAUUUUGGGCCCCUUAACAAUUGGAGAAUAAUAUUUUAGACCCCUUUCAGCCUUGGGCUCUGGGAAGCCGCACCUCUAGACGACCUCUAGAGCCAGGCCUGUGAAGCGCAUUAUCCUCUUAUUUAUGGGUUGGAGUAUAAUCAGAACCUAUAAUGAGAUUGUUAAAAAAAAUUUUAAAACAAAAAAGUUUUAAGAUGGAUUGUGAAUUUAAGGUUUUUUUUUAAUGGUUACAAGUUGCUUGGAAACAAAAUAUUAGUAAAUCAGAAUAGAAAAAUAAAUAAAUAAAUAAAUUGAAAACAAUUAGUCUCUCGAUAUGAUAAAUUAAUUUUGUUUAACAUUCGUUGUAACGACGGUUAGAAAGAAAACAAGCAGCGAAAAAAAUAAAAGAAGAAAAGAAUUGACACAACCGAUCUUUGUUAAUACAGUUUAGACACAGUGGUCCUAUAUUUGCGGAGCCUCUCCCAGUGAAUGAUUUUAUUCAACAAUCGUUCGGAUCACCUAUUGGCUUAAGCCCGAUUACCUUUACACAAAGAAAUAAUUCAAGCUUCAAUAUUGACCCCAAUUGUCACAAAUCACUCACCCAAAUACCUCACAAUAUGAUAGACUUUAAACUCCUAUUUAAAAGUUGAAAUUAUCCCAUUAAUUAUCUUUAGUACCCCAGGGUGAAUCAAACUCAGUAUAAACGAAACCUAUUUAAGGCCCAAGUCAAUAACUUAAGUAGAGAAACAGUUUCGUUAUAAUUGGACAUAAAACAAACAGCAAUUUUCCCAACAAAAACAUAAUGGGGAGAGCGAGACUUAUUCCUAAGUUGGCAAAUGCAAUUGCUCAGCUGUUUGUUUCAUGCAAAACUUAGUUGGCAAUUAACAAAUUCAAAUAGGCUCAACAUCUUUAACCUAUGGAUAGAAUUUCUAAUGCCAAUUUGAAUUCCUUCCUUCCAAGAAAUCCUUCAACAUUUUUAUCUCUUUGUGCAAGCAUUAUUGUAACAAGUCCAUCUUCUUAACUUUCACUAGAGAAUCUGUGGUGAUAUGGAGUUUACAGUAAACCCUAUUCGAAUGGGGAGUAACAAUCCUCUUUUGUCCGAUGAUUCUUUUGUUUUGGGUAAGAAUUCCAAAAUUCAUUUUACAAAGAGUAAACGAAAGUUGUGUUAUUGUUUAUGGGAAUACAUGAAAGUAAUCUAGAGUCGAGCAUUUUAUACCAUUUGUCUUAUAGAAUUUUGGGUUAACUUCGUUUGGUCGGUAAAUUUGACGAUAUAUGUCAUGUUAAUCUUUCUAAAAAAGUAAAUGGUGAAUUACAUUAAUGGUUAUCUAAUUAUGAUUUUUUUUUAUCACCCAACCAUAAAAAAUUACAAAAUAGUUAGUCAAUUAUUAGUAUUUUUUUUAUCAUCCAAUUAUAAAAAAGUGACAAAAUAAUCUUCAUUUUCAUGUUAACCGACUAAUAACUAAAAAAUUAAUUGAAUAAUUAGAUGAUCAUUUUGUAAAAUUUUCAUAGUUAGGUGAUAAAUGAAACUAUAAUCUGAGUGUCCUCUAUUAUAGUUUUGAGUAUAUAAAUAAUAAAAUUGCACAUCCUAUUUGAUAUUUUUGAGCAAAAGAAAAGAAAAGAAUAAUGAACUUGGAUACAUGGUAUUAGAGCGACUUAUGAUUGCAAUUGCACAUCCUAUAUGAUAUUUUUUUAGCAAAAAAAAAAAAGAGAAAAGAAUAAUAACCUUAAAUACAUGGUAUUAGAGCGACCUAUGAUUGCAAUUCCACAUUGACUUCCCAUAGGAUGGAUCAAUAGGUACUCCAAGUCAAACUCCUAAAGUGUGCAGUAGGAGAAAAUAACAACAAAACCCAUGACAAACGCAACACGAGUUUAGAUGGAGAAGAAUAUUAAGCGAAACACUAAAAAAAUUAGAUAACAUUAUUAAUCCCAUAUCAAAAAACAAAUAAGAAAACAAGUAGACUUGUACGCUCUAGGAAAGCAUAUGACUAAUAUCACUAGGGGGGUUUAGCUAGGUACAGCUGAUGGUCCCAAGUUGAAAGGGACUCUUGAGUAUCGCUGAUGUUUUGACCUUAGUCCUAUAUAAUAGGGGCAAAACACUAUCUAUCCGGCGCGUCCACACCCAAUGAGAUAGAUUUUUGGUCACCUAGACUGAAUGGUCUAUGGACGCCUCUAAUCCAGCUGACUUAUCCUAUUUUAUACACAAAAAUGUUGAAAUCUCUAAAUAAUGAAGAGUAAACUAAAAUCAAAUAGCUUCCAUUAACAAGACAUGGGGUUAGAGCUUAGGGUUUAGAAUUAAUAAAGAAUCAUGAUUGCAAGCCAAACCUGGAUCAUUCAUAUACAUUAGAUGACAAUGAUAUCUCUAUAAGUUUUAGCAUUAAAACUAGGUUUGAGGAAACAUCAAAACAGAAAAUCCAAUUUGCAGACAUAAAAUACUUCAUUAAUUACAUUAACAAAAAGCUUAUCAAACAUUCCUUUGGAAAACAAUUUUGCAAAGACACUGUUAACUGCACAUAAUGAUUUAUAUUUGACUUGUAUAAAAGCAAUUGUACAUACCUUUUCAAGAUUUUCAAUUCCCCUCUUUCUUGUUUCAUCUGCUAUAUAAUACAAAAUUCCCCAUCAGCUACAUGCAUAGCUAAAUAGAGCUUUAGGCAUUCAAAAAGCUAAAGAACACAUGUUGGCCUCGAGGAAACACACAGAACCGUGCACAACGUCACAUUUCCACUUUCUCAGCAUGCUCGAAUUGAUGAACACAACGAACAGUGCUAACACAAUACUAAAAAGGUUUUCUUUAUGGAAGACAACUUUCUAUGACCAUUUUUCCACGACACGCUCUGAUAAUCUAAUUUCCUCAUCCUUGGAAAUAUGUGGAUCUAGCUUCUGAAGGUUGUCAAUAAAUGUCUUUGCCUCAUCACGCUGAUUGAGUUUACAAUAUCCAUCAACUAUGGAAUUGUAUGUAUUCUGGUUUGGUUUACAGCCGUGCUUGAUCAUGAAUUGGACAACAUCUAUGGCUUCCUCAAACAAGGAAUCAGCUGCAUAGCUUGCAACAAAGGUAUUGUAAGUGAUAACAUCUGGAACAAGGCCAGAAUCACCCAUUUCUGAAAAUAUCCGAGAAGCCUCUUUCAUUCGACCGUUUCUACAAUAGGCAUAAAUAACAGUGUUAUACGAGAUUAUAUCUGGUUUUAUUCCUUUUGCCUGAACUUCCCUUAAAAUUUGUUCUGAUUCCUCGAACUUUUCAGAGCGGCUAUACAUAUACAUCAAACUGUUGUAGGUCGUCAAGCUCGGAGUAUACCCACACUCAUUCAUGAAGUUCAAGAUCUCAUUUGUCUUGGAAACCAUCUGCCUCCUGCCAUAUAUUGAGAGCAUGGCAUUUAGAGUAGUUAUGUCAGGUGGAAAUCCUUUCUUCCUCAAUUCCAAGAAAGCACGCUCUGUAUCCGCAAGAAGGUCGCAUUUACUAUUAACCAAAACAAGAGUCUUUAACAGCACAGCAUGAGGUUCGAUGAUACCGGAGUAUAUCUCUUCCGCUAGGGCAUGCAUCCGAUCUACCUGCUUCCCAUUGGCAUAAACAUGAAGCAAAGAACAGUAGGUUAGCUCAUUGGGUUUGCAACGACCGUCUCUCAUUUCAGCCAGUAUUUUCUCAGACUGCUUCCAAAGCCCUCCCCGUGCCAAUGCCGCCAAAACAGCAUUAUAUGUAGAAAGGUCGGGGGUAACUCCAGCUUCCAGCAUUCUCUUAUAAAUAGCCAUGGCUUGAUCAAAAGCACCACAGCGACUGUAUGCACUAAUUAAAGUGUUGAAUGUGUCCCUUUCAGGUACAAACCCUGCCCUCUUCAUCUCCUUGAACACUCCAGACACUUCUACAUCCAUUCCAUUUUGCCCAAAUACUGCCAGUAGUGUAUUCCAAGUAACAAUAUCCGGUGCACCAUUGCAUGCCUUGAUCUCGUCAAAAAUCUUCAUCAUCUCAGUGAACUUCCCGCGGUUACCGUGCAUCUUAAUUAGAGCAUUGAAAGUGCAAAUAUUCGGCUUGCAACCAGAAGUUCUCAUCUCCUCAAAAACCGCCAUUGCAGACUCAUCUUUUCCGGCCUUGGCAAAUCCCGACAAAAGAGUGGUAUAGGUAAAAACAUCAGGCUUAAUCCCUUUUCCCUCCAUCUGUGUUUUCAAGUCCAUUGCUUCCUGCAACAGACCAUCCCUAGCAUAAGCGGAAAUCAACGAAUUAUAAGUCACAGUGCUAGGGGCAAACCCAUUAAGCUCCAUCUCUUUUAAAACCUCCAUAGCUUCCUUCGGACGCCGAGACUUACCAUAAACAUCCAACAAUGCAUUGUAAGUAACAUUAUCUGGAGUAAAACCAGCCAAUUUCAUUUCAUCGAAAACCGAAGCCGCUUCCUCAUGCAAAGACCCUCGACGACAGCUACUUAUAAGCGUAUUAUAAGUAUAAGCAUCAGGGGCAAUUCCAUCACUUUUCAUUCCAUCAAAAAGAGCCAUGACCUUACUCCAAGGCAUGCCCAUUUUACCAUACACAUUCAAAACCACAUUAUAAGUUAUCAAAGUAGGUUUACAACCCUCUUCCUCCAUUUUCUUAAAAACCACCAUGGCUUCCCUAUACCUCCCACUACCAGCAUAAGCAGUUAUCAAUGAAGUAUAAGCAUAAACAUCAAGACUAAACCCUUCUUUGUGCAAACCAUUAAACAAAUUAGCUGCAACAGAAACCCUCCCCUCUUUCCCUAACAUACUAAUAAUAAUAGCAACAACAGAGCUAUUCAACACCAAUCCACAAUCAUUUCUAGCUCUAACCCAAUUGAAAACACCCAAAGCCAAGUUAGAUUUCUUGUAAAAACCCAAAGCUUUAACAAUUCCCACCACUUCCGCAGCCAAAAAAUCAGCUUUCACAUCUGGGUUUUCUUGGUAUUGCUCAAACAACUUACUCAAAACAACAUCAAGUUGAUUAGAAUCAAAAGAAGGUUCAAUUAAGGAAUUAAGAACCUGCUGACCUUGAGCAGAGAGGUUGUUAUGAGUCCAACGCUUCCCACGGUUGACGUCACGUGACCGGCCGAGACGGUUCCGGGUCCGGACUUGUGGGUCGAUGGGUUGUUGGGACUUAGAAUUAUGUCGAAGAAGGAGGUCUUGAAAGACUGGAGUCGAGGGAGCAGGUGAAUUGGGUUGUGAAGUUGGGUUUUGUUGAGUGAAGUGAGUUUGGUUUGAUAAUGGGGUUUUAACAGGUGGGGGAUUUGGAAGGAGAAGAGGGAGAGCAAGCCUCUCUGCCAUUAAAGAGAGGAUAAGAAAGUUGCAGCCUUUGUAUCUAUGGUUGAGUUAGAAACAGAGAGGGAGAAAAAGAAAAGGGUAAUUGAUAAUUUUAGUGCGCUUUCGUUAUUACUUGCAGAGUCCACAACUUUUUUUUUUAGAAGUCUAAGGCUUAAAGGGGGACAUGACAAAGAUAUGCGGAGGAUAUUUUAGGAGGUAAAAGGGAGAUUAUAUUCUUCUGUGGUUAAGAAUGAACUAUUGAAAUACUAUGACCAAUAAAAGGUUGCCACGUAAACUCUGAAAGCGGACUCUUAAGUCAAAAUUGGUGACGUUUGCCCUCUUCAAAAUUAGUUCGAUUAGACAAAUUAUACUUAUUUAAACAUUUUCUCUUUUAUUUUUAUAUAAAAAUUAAUUUAAAGUGAAGCUUAAUAUUAUUAUAUUAAUAAUAUUUUUUAUUUUAAAAAAUAUUUAAAAUUAAUAAAAUAUUUAUAAUUUUCAAUAUUAUUAAUCAUACUUAUUUAAUUAUCUAUUUCUAAUCAUAUUAAUAACUUAUUAUUUUAAUAAUUUAUUUAAUAAUUUAAUUUUAUUUUAAAAAUAAAUUUGAAAAAUAAUAAUUUUAAAUAAUAUUCUUCAUAUAGUAUUGAAAAAUAUUCAAUGUUAAUAUUUUAAUAAUAAAUAUUUAUUACAAUUAUAAAUAUAUUACAGAUAAAUAUUUUGUAGUAUAAAUGUUAAAAUAUGUCAUAAAUAUAUAUACUCCUCACAAAUUUGAAAUUUAGUCCCUAUUCUUUUAUUUUCAAGAAUUUAAUCAUUCUACUGUUCAUAUUUAAAAAUCAAGUCCAAUUGUUAACAUUGUUAAAUUUUUUUUGUCAAUUUUGUUGAUGUCAAUUUUUAAAUAAAAAAUACUUGAUAUUCAUGUAACUAAAAGAUGACGUUACAAUUAACAUGAAUUUAACAAAAUAUUUUUAAUAAUGCUAUCAGAUGAACCUUAAUUUUGAUAUAUAAAAGGUAGGACUAACCCAAAAAUAAAAGCACAUGGACUAAAUUUCAAAUUUACGAAAAGUACAAUGACUUAUGACAUAUUUUAACCUAGUAUAAAAAUAUGAAUAUUUUAAUUAUAUAAAUUUGAAUAUUUGUUUAAGUAAUGUUUAGCUUCAUUUAUCCUUUACAACUCUAAUGUGUCAAUAUCUAUUCUCACAUAUCUAAUAUAUAUAAUUAAAAUUAAGUUUUAAUUAAGCAUUAUUUAUUAUUAAGUUUAUAUAUGACACUGAUUAUUACAAAAUAUUUUCUUAUUAUAAAAUAAAUUUCAAUUGUUAAAAGGAAAUUGCACUGUAAUAUUUUAUAACAAAUAUAUUUAUGUCAUGUUUGUUUUACAAAGAACAAUGUAAAAUAUAAAUUUAUAGAUAUAAAAUAAACUCAAUUAAACAAUGAAAAUAUAAGAAAAUCUCAUAUGUAUGUUUGUUUCAUUGAAAACAACUUUUAUGAAAUAUUUAUAGUAAAUCUGUCAAAUAACAGAAAAUAUUAAUUUUUCAAAAAAGUAAGUCAUUUUCCAGAAAUCAUUUUUCGGAAGUCAUUUUCAGUGAAACAAAUGGAACCUAAACUUGAAAAUCGUAAGUUAACUUGAUAUUUUUUUAGGCACCUAAUACUAUUAAAAUAUACUGACAUAACACUGACGAUCAAUUGGAUGGUGACACGUGAUAACCUCACAUUUUUUAUUAUAAAUAUUAUAUUUUUUUAUUUUGCCACGUGUCAAAAUAUAAGGCUAUCACGUGUCACCAUUCUAUUAGUAGUCAACGUCACAUCAGCGUAUUUUAAUGAUGUUAGUCAAGUAGCUAAAAAAACACAAAGUUGACUUAUAAUUUUUAAGUUUAGGUACCAGUCAGGGCCAAAAUUAAACUAUGUAAUUGAUAUUUAUGUCAUUAUUGUUGUUUAUUUGUGUAACUAAGAAUUGAUGACUUUAUUGUUUCAACCACUAAUUCGGUUUCCAAAAAACAUUGAUUCAAAGGAAACUAACCUAAACCGAACUAUAUAAUUGAUGUUUAUGCCAUUAUUAUAUAUGUGUUUAUAAUAACUAGAAUCGAUAACUUAACCGUUUCAACCACCUCUUCCAACUUCUAAAAAAAACAUUGGUAAAUGGAAGUUAGAUUAUUUUCAAAUCUUCAAGCUUUAUAAGUUAUUGAAUCGAGUGAUAAAAUACUUAUUAAUUCAUAAAAAGUUGAUGAAUCGUUUGAAAAGAAAGAAAAAGAAAAAGAAAAACCAAUGCUAAAAAAUGCUUGUUUCUUAUUUAGAAGUCCAAUUCAACUCAAGUUGUGUUUAGUAUUACUUUUAAGAAGUAUUUUUGAGAAAAAAAUACUUUUGAGAUAAAAACAUUAUUAAAUAAAAUGCUAAAUUGACCCGCAAUCGAUACCUGUGGGNNNNNNNNNNNNNNNNNNNNNNNNNNNNNNNNNNNNNNNNNNNNNNNNNNNNNNNNNNNNNNNNNNNNNNNNNNNNNNNNNNNNNNNNNNNNNNNNNNNNNNNNNNNNNNNNNNNNNNNNNNNNNNNNNNNNNNNNNNNNNNNNNNNNNNNNNNNNNNNNNNNNNNNNNNNNNNNNNNNNNNNNNNNNNNNNNNNNNNNNNNNNNNNNNNNNNNNNNNNNNNNNNNNNNNNNNNNNNNNNNNNNNNNNNNNNNNNNNNNNNNNNNNNNNNNNNNNNNNNNNNNNNNNNNNNNNNNNNNNNNNNNNNNNNNNNNNNNNNNNNNNNNNNNNNNNNNNNNNNNNNNNNNNNNNNNNNNNNNNNNNNNNNNNNNNNNNNNNNNNNNNNNNNNNNNNNNNNNNNNNNNNNNNNNNNNNNNNNNNNNNNNNNNNNNNNNNNNNNNNNNNNNNNNNNNNNNNNNNNNNNNNNNNNNNNNNNNNNNNNNNNNNNNNNNNNNNNNNNNNAAUAUAUCUUAAAUUUUAUUUUAUUGUAAUUUUAUAUGAAUUGAUUAUAAUUUUAAUUGACCGAAUAUAUAUCCUUUAUUAUUUAUAUUAUAUUUGUACUUGUAAUUUUUUUAAAAAUUUAAAUUAAACAUGCCCUUUUUUUAAAAAUGUAAAUAUAAAUAUUUGUUUAUAUUAUAAUGUGUUUAUAAUAAGAGUCAGAUUAUAUAUAUAUAUAUUUGUAAUAGAGUCAGAUUAUAUUUUACAUCUUCUGUUCGAAAAAAUUGGAAAAUUAAUCAACAGAUAAAAAUUAAAUCUAUUCUUAUUAUUAAAAAUUAUUUAAUUUCUGAAAAAAUUCUUAUAGGUAACCUUUUAGAUCUUUUUUAGCUGUGUUUAUUAAAAAAAAUAAAAAAAUAUAAAAGUAGUUUUUUUAGAGUAAAUGUAAAACUUUAAAAUAAUUGUAAUAUGUAAAAUUAAAAAUAUUAAACUAUUUACAACCGUCGGAUUAAAAAUGAUAUAUUUUUGAAUGAUGAUGAAGAUCGAUUCCUGAUGUAUAUAAAUACUGCCUUCUAUUCCCUUCAGUCUUCGCUUCACCCACUUUCUCAUUUCACACGGGUUGUGGCGUAGUUUAAGCAGAGAGGGUGCGCAGGAUAAAGCUAUUCACCAUUGUUUCAACAUGAAGGUUUGUAAUAAAAAUUUGUUUCUAUCAGCAUUGCUUUGCAUUGCUGUUGCAGGAGUUUUGGGUCAAGCUCCUAGUAAUCCUCCUACGUCUACGCCGGCGCCACCCACACCACCGGCUUCUACUCCUCCUCCGACGACUCAAGCACCGCCUACACCAACCGCCACUCCGCCACCGGUUUCUACUCCUCCUCCCACUUCAUCACCGCCCCCAGUGACAGCUUCUCCACCCCCAGUUUCAACUCCUCCACCCAGUUCUCCUCCUCCUGCAACUCCACCACCUGCUUCUCCUCCUCCUGCAACUCCACCUCCAGCUUCUCCACCUCCUGCCACUCCUCCACCAGCUUCUCCACCUCCCGCCACUCCACCACCUGCAACCCCACCGCCAGCAACUCCUCCUCCUGCUACCCCACCACCAGCUCCAUUGGCUUCUCCUCCAGCCACAGUCCCAGCUAUCUCUCCAGUACAAACACCAUUGACAUCGCCACCAGCUCCGCCGACCGAGGCCCCAGCACCUACCCUCGGGG
rnacentral:lncRNA from 1 species